rnacentral:rRNA from 1 species
AUGCCGCCGCCGCCACCGCGAUCCCUGAAACGCCGCCGAUCUAUUCGCUACAUCGACGGAAACCAGGCGCUAGCCACGGAUCCCUUUGCCGGCGCCGAGCAGUCAUCGAGGAGCCGGCGCCGAGGUCCUAAAGAGGCGCCGCCGCCAUCGUUGCAGGCCUCCGGGUCGCCAUCGGGACACCGCUGCCGAGAUCCGCCUUCGCCUUCGUCCGGCAGAGGCGGCGGAAGGCAGCCGGGAGGGGAAGCACACAACGACCCGGAAGACAUCCGCCCUCACGCGCUCAUCGUCUUGCUCGAUCUACCCGAGGGCUGCCGAUGGGCGCCUCGGCGGCGGCCACGGCGAGAUCUGCGUCUGGGACGUGACAAUCCCUCCACCCUGGUCGCCGGUGAGAUUUCACUGCCUCGAUCCUCCCGGUCCCAGUUUAUCAGGUCGUCCCUGACAAGAGGGAGCGAGAGAUGCUACUGCCGGGCACGUGCACGCACGUGGGGCGGCCGCCUGCGAGCGGGGCCGCGUCCUCUCUCCUUCGUCGACCAUGGCCUCCGAACCACUCCGUUGAGCGGUACCUCUGCGCCCAAGUGUCCGCUCCUCGAUCUUCAACAGAUUUGUUAUCUCCUCUCUUCCGUUGCAGUUAUCUUUCAAGAUGGAGGGGAGGCACUCGUGUGGACCUGCUCAAUGUUCGAGGAGAUACGGCUGACUAAACAAGAUUUUGGAUCACGAUCAUCUAUUUACCAGGCAUCAGUUAACUCAAGGCAUCGAUCAAAAUCUAGCAUUCUUUGUUGUGUGCACCAUGGAGAAGACAAAGAACAGAGAUUUCAAAUCAAGUCAAUUUGCAACUUUGGUGUUGUGACGUUGGAGGCCGUGCUCAACAGCAAUGGGGGAUUGUUCGUUGAUGCCCGACCCAUGAUGCCGGCGAAGGAAUGA